UAGGGAAUCUUCGGCAAUGGACGAAAGUCUGACCGAGCAACGCCGCGUGAGUGAAGAAGGUUUUCGGAUCGUAAAACUCUGUUGUUAGAGAAGAACAAGGACGUUAGUAACUGAACGUCCCCUGACGGUAUCUAACCAGAAAGCCACGGCUAACUACGUGCCAGCAGCCGCGGUAAUACGUAGGUGGCAAGCGUUGUCCAGAUUUAUUGGGCGUAAAGCGAGCGCAGGCGGUUUCUUAAGUCUGAUGUGAAAGCCCCCGGCUCAACCGGGGAGGGUCAUUGGAAACUGGGAGACUUGAGUGCAGAAGAGGAGAGUGGAAUUCCAUGUGUAGCGGUGAAAUGCGUAGAUAUAUGGAGGAACACCAGUGGCGAAGGCGGCUCUCUGGUCUGUAACUGACGCUGAGGCUCGAAAGCGUGGGGAGCAAACAGG
rnacentral:rRNA from 2 species